CACCAGCGCCUCGAGUGGGGAUCGCGAUUAUUGGGCCUAAAGCGUCCGUAGCAGGCUUUGUAGAUCCUUUGUGAAAUGGGCAGGCCUAACCUGUCCGCGGGCAGAGGAGACCGCAGAGCUUGAGACCGGGAGAGGUCAGAAGUAUUCCUAGGGUACCGGUAAAAUGGGUUAAUCCUGGGAGGACUACCAAUGGCGAAGGCAUCUGACCAGAACGGUUCUGACUGUGAGGGACGAAAGCUAGGGGAGCAAAACGG
rnacentral:rRNA from 1 species